AUGGCGGUGUCGGUGCUGGCCAUCCUGCUCGCCUCUUGUGCCCUGGCGGCGGCGAGCUUCGACAAGGAGUUCGACGUCACCUGGGGUGACGGGCGCGGCAAGAUCCUCGACAACGGCCAGCUCCUCACGCUGGGGCUCGAUAAGGUCUCCGGCUCCGGGUUCCAGUCCAAGCACGAGUACCUCUACGGCAAGAUCGACAUGCAGCUCAAGCUCGUCCCCGGCAACUCCGCCGGCACCGUCACGGCCUACUACCUGUCGUCGCAGGGGCCGACGCACGACGAGAUCGACUUCGAGUUCCUGGGCAACGUCACCGGCGAGCCGUACACGCUGCACACCAACGUGUUCACGCAGGGGCAGGGCCAACGGGAGCAGCAGUUCCGCCUUUGGUUCGAUCCCACCAACGACUUCCACACCUACUCCAUCCUCUGGAACCCCAAGCACAUCAUCUUCAUGGUGGACGACAUGCCGAUCAGAGACUUCAGGAACCUGGAGGGAAAGGGCAUCGCAUUCCCCAAGAACCAGCCGAUGCGCCUCUACUCCAGCCUCUGGAACGCCGACGACUGGGCCACGCAGGGCGGCCGCGUCAAGACGGACUGGUCCCAUGCCCCGUUCUCCGCCUCGUACCGCGGCUUCAAGGCCGACGCGUGCGUGGUGACCGCGGGCGGCAAGCCGCACUGCGGCGCCAGCGUCGGCACGGAGGUCGCCCCUGGCACCGGCGCGGCUGGCGAGUGGUACAACCAGGAGCUGGACCUGACGCGGCAGCAGCGGAUGCGGUGGGUGCAGAGCAACUACAUGAUCUACAACUACUGCACCGACCCCAAGCGCUUCGCCCAGGGCGUCCCUGCCGAGUGCUCCAUGUAA
rnacentral:rRNA from 1 species